UUGGCUCAGAACGAACGCUGGCGGCAGGCUUAACACAUGCAAGUCGAGCGCCUCGCAAGAGGAGCGGCAGACGGGUGAGUAACGCGUGGGAAUCUACCCAUCUCUACGGAACAACUCCGGGAAACUGGAGCUAAUACCGUAUACGUCCUUCGGGAGAAAGAUUUAUCGGAGAUGGAUGAGCCCGCGUUGGAUUAGCUAGUUGGUGGGGUAAUGGCCUACCAAGGCGACGAUCCAUAGCUGGUCUGAGAGGAUGAUCAGCCACAUUGGGACUGAGACACGGCCCAAACUCCUACGGGAGGCAGCAGUGGGA
rnacentral:rRNA from 1 species